AAAAUAUCAAUGACAAGAAUUAGUAAACUUAAAAACAAACUUUAAGAGAGUCAUAUGUUUGCUGGGAGUAUGAUAGUUAUGAUUAAGUUGAAUGGAUCUUCGAGAUGUUUAGAGGAAUUUUAGUAUUCUAAAUCGUAAUUCUUACGUUACAAGAAAGAGAUACAAAGAAUUUUCUUUGUAACAUUAGGUGGUACCGCGAUAUAUUCGUCCUAUAA
rnacentral:ncRNA from 1 species